UACAGAGGUCUCAAGCGUUGUUCGGAGUCAUUGGGCGUAAAGGGUGCGUAGGCGGCGCGGUAAGUCGGGUGUGAAAUUUCGAGGCUUAACUUCGAAACUGCAUUCGAUACUGCCGUGCUUGAGGACUGGAGAGGAGACUGGAAUUUACGGUGUAGCGGUGAAAUGCGUAGAUAUCGUAAGGAAGACCAGUGGCGAAGGCGGGUCUCUGGACAGUUCCUGACGCUGAGGAGCGAAAGCGUGGGGAGCGAACAGG
rnacentral:rRNA from 1 species